UUUUCCGGUUGAUCCUGCCGGAGGUCACUGCUAUUGGGAUUCGACUAAGCCAUGCGAGUCGAGAGGGUUCGGCCCUCGGCUGACGGCUCAGUAACACGUGGAUAAUCUGCCCUAAGGUGGAGGAUACCCUCGGGAAACCGAGAAUAAUACUCCAUAGGUCUAGGAUGCUGGAAUGCACUUAGACUUAAAGCUCCGGCGCCUUAGGAUGAGUCUGCGGACUAUCAGGUUGUAGUCAGGGUAAUGACCUGACUAGCCUACGACGGAUACGGGUUGUGAGAGCAAUAACCCGGAGAUGAUAUCUGAGACACGAUAUCAGGCCCUACGGGGCGCAGCAGGCGCGAAAACUUCACAAUGUGCGAAAGCACGAUGAGGGAAUCCCAAGUGCUUGCUCGUUAGAGUAAGCUGUUUCUAUGUUUAAAACGCAUGGAGAGUAAGGGCUGGGUAAGACGGGUGCCAGCCGCCGCGGUAAUACCUGCAGCUCUAGUGGUGACCGCUAUUAUUGGGCCUAAAACGUCCGUAGCCGGUUUAAUAAAUGCCUGGGUAAAUCGUGUAGCUUAACUAUACGAAUUCCGGGUAGACUGUUAAACUUGAGACCGGGAGAAGUUAGAGGUACUCCUGGGGUAGAGGUGAAAUUCUGUAAUCCUAGGGGGACCACCAGUGGCGAAGGCGUCUGACUAGAACGGGUCUGACGGUGAGGGACGAAGCCCUGGGGCGCAAACCGGAUUAGAUACCCGGGUAGUCCAGGGUGUAAACGCUGCUUGCUUGAUGUUAGUCGGGCUCCGAGCCCGAUUAGUGUCGGAGAGAAGUUGUUAAGCAAGCUGCCUGGGAAGUACGGUCGCAAGACUGAAACUUAAAGGAAUUGGCGGGGGAGCACAGCAACGGGUGGAGCGUGCGGUUUAAUUGGAUUCAACGCCGGGAAUCACUAGU
rnacentral:rRNA from 1 species